rnacentral:misc_RNA from 1 species
CCCAAUGUGAACGUUACCAAACUGUUGCCUCGGCGGGAUCUCUGCCCCGGGUGCGUCGCAGCCCCGGACCAAGGCGCCCGCCGGAGGACCAACCAAAACUCUUAUUGUAUACCCCCUCGCGGGUUUUUUACUAUCUGAGCCAUCUCGGCGCCCCUCGUGGGCGUUUCGAAAAUGAAUCAAAACUUUCAACAACGGAUCUCUUGGUUCUGGCAUCGAUGAAGAACGCAGCGAAAUGCGAUAAGUAAUGUGAAUUGCAGAAUUCAGUGAAUCAUCGAAUCUUUGAACGCACAUUGCGCCCGCCAGUAUUCUGGCGGGCAUGCCUGUCCGAGCGUCAUUUCAACCCUCGAACCCCUCCGGGGGGUCGGCGUUGGGGAUCGGCCCUUUACGGGGCCGGCCCCGAAAUACAGUGGCGGUCUCGCCGCAGCCUCUCCUGCGCAGUAGUUUGCACACUCGCAUCGGGAGCGCGGCGCGUCCACAGCCGUUAAACACCCCAAACUUCUGAAAUGUUGACCUCGGAUCAGGUAGGAAUACCCGCUGAACUUAAGCAUAUCAAUAAGCGGAGGAA